rnacentral:rRNA from 1 species
UACAGAGGGUGCGAGCGUUGUUCGGAAUUAUUGGGCGUAAAGGGCGCGUAGGCGGUGCCACAAGUCACCUGUGAAAUCUCCGGGCUUAACUCGGAGCCUGCAGGCGAAACUGUGGUGCUGGAGUGUGGGAGAGGUGCGUGGAAUUCCUGGUGUAGCGGUGAAAUGCGCAGAUAUCAGGAGGAACACCGGUGGCGAAGGCGGGUCUCUGGGCCGAUACUGACGCUGAGGAGCGAAAGCGUGGGGAGCGAACAGG